CCUGACGCAGCAACGCCGCGUGUGUGAUGAAGGUCUUCGGAUUGUAAAGCACUUUUCGACCGGGCGAAAACCCCGUUUGGCUAACAUCCAGCGGCUUGACGGUACCGGGAGAAGAAGCACCGGCUAACUCUGUGCCAGCAGCCGCGGUAAUACAGAGGGUGCAAGCGUUGUUCGGAAUUAUUGGGCGUAAAGCGCGUGUAGGCGGCGUGACAAGUCGGGUGUGAAAGCCCUCAGCUCAACUGAGGAAGUGCGCCCGAAACUGUCGUGCUUGAGUGCCGGAGAGGGUGGCGGAAUUCCCCAAGUAGAGGUGAAAUUCGUAGAUAUGGGGAGGAACACCGGUGGCGAAGGCGGCCACCUGGACGGUAACUGACGCUGAGACGCGAAAGCGUGGGGAGCAAACAGGAUUAGAUACCCUGGUAGUCCACGCCGUAAACGAUGAGAACUAGGUGUCGUGGGAGUUGACCCCCGCGGUGCCGAGGCUAACGCAUUAAGUUCUCCGCCUGGGAAGUACGGUCGCAAGACUA
rnacentral:rRNA from 1 species